UACGUAGGUGGCAAGCGUUGUCCGGAAUUAUUGGGCGUAAAGGGCGCGUAGGCGGCCUUUCAAGUGACGGGUGAAAUCCCUCGGCUUAACCGAGGAACUGCCUGUCAGACUGGAAGGCUUGAGACCGGGAGAGGUGAGUGGAAUUCCCAGUGUAGCGGUGAAAUGCGUAGAUAUCGAGAGGAACACCUGCGGCGAAGGCGGGUAGCUGGGCCGACACUGACGCUGAGGCGCGAAAGCCAGGGAGCGAACGGG
rnacentral:rRNA from 1 species